rnacentral:lncRNA from 1 species
CAACAUAGUAUUAUUUCUACUAGUAAUGAGGUCUCAUGGCUAACUCAAGGCAGAGCCGGGCCUGGAGCCAAGGGUUAACUUAAUAUCCUGUUUCUGCAUCCUUCAGGUUCCUGCCGGGGAAAAGAGGAAAGGAUUAUUCUGGCAGCAAGAACCUACAGAAGAGUCACCAGUGGACAAUGACCCAGACCUGGAGAGAGGAGGGUGGGAAAUCCUCAGAGUGAGGGAUUAUAAGGAUCUUCUCCACUUUCUUUCCUUCUCUUUAACUUCUGGAGCAAUAGGGUUUGAGAGGACAAGGUAUGAUAAGGUAUGAUGGGGGACGUGGGGACAAUUUAGGGAUGCAUGGCUCUGAAAGACUACAGCAGGCGCCAGGAACCAAACAGCUGGGAUGUUUAUAAUUGUCCAAGAACCUGGGCUUCUAGGCAGAAGGGAGAAGUGAAGGUUAGGGCCACUUUCUCCAUAUUUUGACCCAGGUCUAAAGGGCAGGAAAACAGACAGGGAUCAUGAGCACAAAGCUCUGCUCCUGCGUAGAGUUCAGGGUCUU